rnacentral:misc_RNA from 1 species
CGCUCAAGCCCACCAGAGAGGUAGCCGAUGGGUGGCAAAUCACCCGAAACAUGCGGACCAGCCGUAGCGAUGAUGAUCUGAUCGGCGUCGGUAUUGAUGAUCAGGUUCGCGUUAUGCGUCAUCAUGAUGACCUAGUCUUGGCAUUGAUAACAAGCCGGCUCUCAAGCGCGCCAAGGUAGCCUCCCAAACGUCGACCCCCUCGAAUUGGUCGUUCAGGAUCGUUCCCGGCGCCAGAGGCGUCAAUUUCGCCAAGUCUGUUUGAAUUCCUGAUCGAACCACAUCUCGAGAUCAUACCGC